rnacentral:tRNA from 2 species
AGGGGUAUAGUUCAGUUGGUAGAACGUCGGUCUCCAAAACCGGAUGUCGUGGGUUCAAGUCCUACUGCCCCUGCCA